CCUCCUGCCCUGCCCACCCGGUCCGGCCGGAUCCAGCCCCAACACGCUCCACUUUCCUUCGAUUUCCGCCGCCCGCCGAAGCUGUCUCCGGCAAGGACCCAGCCGGCGACACGGCCUCUUCCCGGCGGCCCACCAGCGGCCAGGCGCGCCCUUUCCUCCCUCCCCGCGCUCUGGCCGUGGCCGGUCUGCUCCUCCUCUCUUUGUCCGGGGCCCCGGGUCAUGGCCGUCUCUCGCCUCGCCUCCUCGCGUCCGGUUUGGAUUCGCUCCUCCUCGAUUCGUCGCCCGUUCAGGUUUAGAAGGGAAAAUACACGAUAACCCCCCAGUUCGCGCGCCUUUGAUCAUAUGCCCCCCUUUGUGUCACUGACAUGUGGGGCCGGACCCGCGCCUGAUUUGGUUUUCGCUCCUGCUCGAUUCGCCCGUUUGGAAUUGCGCCUGGUUUGAUCUUGCUCGUCCUCGCAGUCGUCUGUUUGGGGUCGCGUCUGGUUCGAUUUCGCUCGUCCUCGCCGCCGUCGUCCGUGUAGGGUCGCUUCCAGUUUGAUUUCGCUCGUCCUUGUCGUCGUCCGUGUAGGGUCGCGCCUAGCUCGAUUUCGCUCGUCCUCGCCAUUGUCCCGAUGCGCUCGCAUGUUCUUGGUCCGUCUCACCUCGUCGGGGUCUCCUCCGUCUCGUUUGUGUACUAGCAAUUCUGUCCAUGCGCGCUUCUGUUAUCCGAACUAGCAGUCCUGGGUUUCGCGCUCGCGUCUGGUUUCGAAAUUGGAUUACGGCCGGAGACGGGGAGCAGUGUUCGUUUAUUGUGCUAGUUCAGACCGGUUCCUCCGUUCCGUCACCUACGUUGCUCUUGGUGAUUUUCAGAACUCAAACGUAUGUUCUCCUGUGAUACUCUGUCAAUUCUUGGCCCUCUGCCAGUUCUUGUUGGCCCUCUGUCAAUUCUUGAGUUCCAGGGUCUGUUAAUUCUUUACUUCUUGUUGUACCAGCUAGGCGUGUGUGCUCUCAUCCUAGAUUCAGAGAUAGGGUGAUUCCUUACGCUUGAUCUCAUGGUGUUUCCUUACUGUUUAUGUUCUUUCCAAUUUGUUUCUUUUUAUCAUGGCUUGCUUGUGUGUUCCGAGCAAAAAAGUUUUACAAGAGUGCAAGCCAUGUGGCCUGCUGCUUGACUAAUUGAACACCUGCUGCUGUUACUGUUGGACAUGGUUCCUUCUUUUCUUCUUGAUGUUGCUAUUUCCAUUGAACUACUCAUAGGAGUUCUAGAUGAGCUGCUGCUAGUUAGUUCCCCUUAGACUACAUUCUAGAUUGCAUAGCAUAAUUCCAGAAUUUUGUCAUUGCACACCUGGGCAUAUAAUUCUGUUGUGAGCAUAACUCCUGAAUUCAUUCAUCCGUGAAAGCACGUUCAUCACAUGUUUUUUACCAUGCUGCUAACUUCUGUCAUGUCCCUUUCCUUUGGACAAGAAUUUCAACGAACCUAUAACGUGGACAUGUGCUGCUUGUUUUCUUGUGAUGGUGGUUAUCCAAUUGAGUACCCCAACUCUUAUGCUCUGACAUUUGUUAAUCCCCACUUAGUGUGCAUGAAAAAUUAUUGUUUGUCAUGUUAAAUUUUAUGGCAUCAAUUCGGUAUUGUGAUUAAUGACUCAGUAUUUGUUUAGUGUAGACAGUUGACUUCUUUUUUCUUAAGCUUUUAGUGAUAUGCGUGUUUUGUUAUGUCUUAUGGGGAUAUCAUGUUCUUUCUUUGUAUUACUAAUGUCCAGUCAAUGGAAAAUGCUUUUCUUGCUUUGCCUAGACUUUGUGACAAUGAACUUAUAGUGCGAUCAUUGAUCAUUGAGCUUCUGACACCCUAUUCCAUAAAAUUCUGUUGUAAUGUUUGCUGGAUCAUUGAGUAGUUAAUAUUGAUUCUGAGUUUGUUGGAUCAUUAACUUCUGUGUGUGCUUUGGUUAUCUAAGAGACACUCACUAUCCUUUGUUUCAUAUUCGUGGCGGAAUGAUGAAAGAUUAUGUUCCGUGUCCCCGUGUUUCGUGUUCGCCGGUCUGGUUUUGGAUUUGGAUUACGGAGACAGGGAGAGGCCAAAGCAAGGUCAGUUUAUCGUGUUCGCUCAGAUCGGUUCCUCGGUUCCGUCGUUGCAUUGUUCGUCGGCGAUUUCCAGACCUGAAACGCAUGCACCCUUGUGAUACUCUGGUUUGGCUCGCUGGUCGUCAUGGUUGUUCGUUACGGUUGUUCUUAUGUUCUUGAAUCACCCAUCUUAUAAGCAGAGAUGGGGUGAUACAUUAUGGUUGUUCUGAUGGUUGUUUAUUUAGUGUUCUUUCCAAUUGGGUUCUUCUUGCCAUGCUUUGCUUAUGUUCCCAAUGUCUGUCUUUCCAUAGAUGGGGAUGCGUUAGGGUGCAAACCGUGUAGGCCAUGGUGUGUUUUUACUAGUUAUGGUGUGUUUUAUACUAUCUGAUGUUGAAGGUGGAAAUAUUGAUAUCACUUCUGUGUUAGUAUACUUGAUAUGGUGUGUUUUAUUCAAGUAAUUAACCACAUCUCUUACAAAUUUUCCUUGAGAUACAUGUUUAUAUGGCAGGAGUGAUUGUCUUGACGAAUAAUCAUUUAUGCUAACAGACCAGUACUUGAUCAUAGGUAACAGACCAGUACUUGAUCAUAGGUUAUAGACCAAUACUUCACAUAGGUAACAGACCAGUACUUGUUUAGUGCAGACAACUGACUAUUCUUUUUUCUGAACUUUUUGUGAUAUGUCUGUUAUGUGAAUAUCAUAUUCUAAUGCUUUUCUAAGUAUUUAAGGUACAGACUUGUGGAUCUGGACAUUUCACAUCUGCUCUUUAUUGUGUUGCUAAGGACACUGAACGGUUUGUCUGGGCCACCGCACAGCCUGGCUAAUCAGGUUGUAGUGAUUAGGGGGAAGCUUGCAGAACUGUAUGAAUUUGAACAACAAUGGUCAAGAGCAUGGAAAAUGCUUAGUGGCUUUGACUUGGACUCAGGAAUAAGAAUGCUUGAUGACAAACAAAUUAUCCAAGUGCGUCCAGAUUGCACGACUCUAUUUGGAGGAUGAUGAUGCAGUGAAUGUUGAAGCUUUUAUCAACAAAGCCUCAUUUUUUGUCACAAACAGCAACCAGGAAGUUCUGAACUUUUAAUACAAGGUAUGCUAUGCGAGAAUUUUAGAUCUAAAGCGUAAAUUCUUGGAAGCUGCACUUCUAUACUAUGGUAUCUCUCAAAUUGAGCAACGCCAAAUUGGGGAUGAGUACAGACAUUGGAUCUGGACAUUUCACAUUGGCUCUUUAUUGUGUUGCUAAGGACACUGAUGGGUUGAGUUUGCAUAAAACGCAGUAUGGAGCAACAAAUUGGUCUCAUUGCAAGGUCACUACCUGGACGUAUAGGCAAGCAAUGUCAAGAGAGGUGGCAUAAUCAUCUGAAUCCAGACAUACAGAGAGAUGCUUGGACUAUGAGGAGGAACAUGCACUGUAUAAUGCCCAGGGAAUAAAUGGGCAGAAAUAGCAAAAUUUCUUCCUAGAAGACAUCUGAACAUUGCAGGAAUGGGGUACUUCCAUUUGUGUAACUUCUAUUUGUUAUCAGUUCUUCUCACCUAUAGCUAAAGUCAAAGACGACAAACCAGGUGAAUUAUUGGAGUUGCAAGAUACACAGAAUCAGUCAUCUUAAUCUUGUUUUGUAAAUAUGACUGCUGGUGCUGCUGGUAACGCUAUCCAUCGGCUUGUACCUCAUGAGAGGCAACCACAGUUGCGAACUUGAAACAUAUAUCUUUUAGGUAUGAAUGGCUUACCUUAGCCAAAAUU